rnacentral:rRNA from 1 species
GACGAACGCUGGCGGCGUGCUUAACACAUGCAAGUCGAACGGAAAGGCCCUGCUUUUGUGGGGUGCUCGAGUGGCGAACGGGUGAGUAACACGUGAGUAACCUGCCCUUGACUUUGGGAUAACUUCAGGAAACUGGGGCUAAUACCGGAUAGGAGCUCCUGCUGCAUGGUGGGGGUUGGAAAGUUUCGGCGGUUGGGGAUGGACUCGCGGCUUAUCAGCUUGUUGGUGGGGUAGUGGCUUACCAAGGCUUUGACGGGUAGCCGGCCUGAGAGGGUGACCGGCCACAUUGGGACUGAGAUACGGCCCAGACUCCUACGGGAGGCAGCAGUGGGGAAUAUUGCACAAUGGGCGGAAGCCUGAUGCAGCAACGCCGCGUGCGGGAUGACGGCCUUCGGGUUGUGAACCGCUUUCGCCUGUGACGAAGCGUGAGUGACGGUAAUGGGUAAAGAGGCACCGGCUAACUACGUG